UGGUGCUUGGCACUGCACCCCCUGAUGCCAUGGAAGGCGCACAGUCUGUGCCCCAGCAGGAUUUAUUCAGUGAGCAAGUCUGGAAAGGGCUGCUCCAGAAGGAGGGUGAAGGCUGGGCUGCACAGAGCCUGCACCUUCUUUGUAUUUUUACAUUGGGCUUCUCUGACUGCCCCUAAAAUAAAAAUGGGGAUAAUCCAUUUUCCUGUGAGAGAAAUGAAAACCCACGAAGACUAAAUGUCCUGCCCGCUGUCCAGGUGCAGUGAGGGGCGUGGCCGGGACCAGAAUCCCUGCUUCCCUGUUCUCUAGUCAGUGCUGCUGCUGGAAACCAGAGUCUUCUUUUGUUUUCCCUCUCACCUCUGGCUGCCUCUCUCUCCCCUCAAAGGUCAGAGCAGUGCCAAGGACAGAAGAGAGAGUAGAUCCAGCCUUGGCCCUGCUAGGCUGGGCAGCCUGGCAGGUAGAGUCAGCAGGGAUAGAGCUUGCUUUCCUGUUCACGAUCUUCAGCCAAGUUCAGGGAGGUCUGAAUACUGAGGCCUUCAUAGCCACUGCACCCCAGGUAGCUCAGGAGAACCUCCGAGCGCAGGAGUGCAAAGGCUGGCAUUCUUCAGGCUCUGAGGCUGUCCCUUCCGGUGGAGGUGAACUGCUUCUUAUUGAUGUGGACAAGACUGUGGACACAGCAAACAGCAGUGCUGCGGAGGUAUGUCUAAUUGCAGAUACUUUUUGUUCAUCAUCGUAUUGAACGUCGUUGCGUGUUCCAGCAGCCAUCAACUUCCUCAGGAGGAAAAUUCAAUUGUGCACUGAGCGACAGCGUGAAGAGACCGGGCCAAGCAGGCAGGGUGCUGCAGGUCAACAAGGUGCUGCUGUGCUCCUGAAGCCUUCAGGAGCCUCAGCCUGAGAGCUCAGGAAAGGGUGGGGCUCCAACCCACCUGGCUUUCCGCCUUACUGAGCUCCAAACACAGGCUUGUUCCACAUCACGGAGAGCCCUUAUCCUGCAUGUGCGUCUCGCUCCCUGACAAGCCUAUUUGUGCCUUGUCACCAGAAAUGUACCUUUUUUCUUCUCUCAUCUGUCCCUGACACCCCCAGCUUAUCUAGCCUGAAGAGAGGCUAUCAAAAUGGUAAUAGCCAGAUGGAAAACAAGGAAAAAUAAGCCCUUUCCCAUAAGGAAGCAAUACGGAUUUUGGAACCGGAGAAAUUUCUACUAUUCUCCCAACAUCAUUCCCUCCGCCUUGGGUGUGCUUCCGAGAGGGUUGGAGGUGUCACCUGCCGUACCCUAGGACUGGCUGAGGGAAAACACACCUGAAGAUUUCCUGUAAAUGAAAAAGUGAAUCACUAAAAGGGGGAGCUGUCAUCCCCUGGCAUUUCUCUGUGCACAGGCGACCUAGUGUUGGGAUGGCAGCAGAACCCAGACAACUGAGCCAACACGUGGAGGGAAGCCCUCACUAGCCUGCAUUCGACUUGUGUGAGAGAGAAGUGAACGUUUACGUGCAAAGCCACUGAGCUUUUGUUGUUGUUCCUGCAGCACAGGGCAUUCUAACCUGCCUAAUACUGAAACGAGUACUGUUAGGCUUGAUCUGUGAAGAGGAGAACAUAAAAGGCCUGCAUAUUCUCUUUUAGGUCCUAAAAAUGCAGUGCUCUCUUCUUGGCCUUGCUGUGACCAGGCUGUUUAAAAUCUGUCACCCCGCCAGUCGCCACUGUAUUAUCUUGCUUUAUUUUUCUUCAUAGUAUUUAUUGAUAAUUUAUGUGCUUAUUAUGUCUCCCUGACUGGAAUGUAAGUUUCAUGAAGGCCAGGACUUGUGCCUUAAAACAGGGCCUGGCACAGAGUAGGCACUUAAUGUGUAUUUUUGAAAGUGAAUUGUGGGCUGAAAAUUCUGAUUUUUCAAAAAAGUUAAUAAAGGUGAAGGCCUUCCUUGCCUUUAUUAAAUGCUUAAAAUGGAUCAGUGGUGGGGUAGAGAUGGAAGGAGUCACACACAUACUGUACCUUCAACGGGUUUCAAUCUAACUGGGAGACAAAAUAUAGAAACAUGAAACAAGCAGAGAGCAAAUCUCUAGGUACCUAAGAGUUAAUUAAGUACUAAGGGUGUACUUAAAUUUGUGAGGGAGGAAGGGGAAGAGGACUGUCCAGAGGUAUGGCUAACUACCAAAAACUCUCUGGAGCAGACAGCUUUGGCAGCAGACUGAGAGCAGGGUUCUCCAAUUUGAGCUUGCAGAAGAAUCACCUGGAAGGCUUCUAAAACCUAUACUAUUGGCCCCACCCCCAGAGUUUCUGAUUCACUAGAUCUGGAUUAUACCUGGGGAUCUUUUUUUUUUUAGACAGAGUCUUGCUCUGUUACCCAGGCUGGAGUGCAGUGGCACUAUCAUAGCUCACUGCAACCUCGAACUCCCCGGUUCAAGGGAUCCUCCCACCUCAGCCUCCCCAGUAACUGGGAUUUCAGGCAUGUGCCACCAAGCCCGGCUAAUUUUUUUUUUUUUUUUUUUGAGAUGGAGUUUCAUUCUUGUUGCCCAGGCUGGAGUGCAAUGGUGCAAUCUCAGCUCACUGCAAUCUCUGCCUCCUGGGUUCAAGUGAUUCUCCAGCCUUGCCUCCUGAGUAGCUAGGAUUACAGGCAUGUGCCACCACGCCCAGCUAAUUUUGUAUUUUUAGUAGAGAUGGGGUCUCACCGUGUUGGCCAGGCUGGUCUUGCACUCCUGACCUCAGGUGAUCCACCCACCUCAGCCUCCCAAAGUGCUGGGAUUACAGGUGCCCACUGCCGUGCCCAGCUUAAUUUCAGUAUUUUUAGUAGAGAUAGGGUUUCUCUAUGUUGGCCAGGCUAGUCUCAAACUCCUGACCUCAGGCGAUCCACCCACCUUGGCCUCCCAAAGUGCUGGGAUUACAGGCCUGAGCCACCACACCUGGCCUCACCUGUAUUUUAAAUUGAGUUUUACUGGGUAACAGCCAUGGUCAUUCAUUUACAUAUUGUCAAAGGCUGCUUUCAAGCUACAACAGCAGAAUUUAACAGUCUCAAGACCAUAUGGCCUGCAAAGCCUAAAAUAUUUACUGGCCCUUUACAGAUAAAGUUUGCUGACCCCUAGAGAGGAAGUCAUGGCCCAUGGCUGGCAGAUGGAAGCCUCAGGACCUGAAGAUUUCUCAAAGAAAGGGACCUGCUGCUGACAGCAAUUAAUAUAUGUUCACAGCUUGCAGCUGAAGCCUGAUGAUGGCUGUAGGAGAAAGGACAUCACCCAGAUGACAUUUUGCCUCCAAAGCUCUGGGGACCAAUUGUGGAAGAACUGCAGGGAUAUUAUGUUAGAAUGUUCUUGUGUCUGGAUAGGAUGAGAACUGUCUUAUAACAAAGUGCAGCCCCCAUGUCUGAGGGCAUGUUUCCUGUGUUUAGGCACUUCCGAAGCAGGGAGCACCUUCAAGGGGCACUGGCCUUCCCAGAAACAGUGUUUGACCUGUGAUGAUGUCCUGGGGGAGGGGACCUAGGAAAAGACCUUAGCCUUUCCAUAAGGCACGAUUAUUCUCCUCUAUAGAGCCUCAAAAGUCAAGUCAAGUAGCAAGCACACUGUGCUCCAGUCUGUGGCCACAGACACACACAAGGACUGGAGCAAAACCAAACAUAGUGUAUCAUCACCGCUGAACCCCCAGGAGCCCCCAGAUGCUUUUGAACGUGAAAGGAGAAAGAAGCUGUCAGAGAUCAGGUUGAAUGUGGUGGGUUAGGUGUGCGGCAUUGCCUCUGGGUCCCUGCUUUGGUUUAAUUAAACUAAGUCUGGUGGUGAAUUGGUUCCCAAAUGUUCAUUGGUGGAUGGGCGGCAUCAGAAUUGUCUACAUCUUUUAAAAAACACGUACGCAAAACCUAUGCAUGUCUUCCUCUGAGAGUUUGAUUUUCAGCAGGCUUGGGGUGGAUUCCUACUUUUAAGAACUCCCCACGCCCGUCCUAAGUGAUUGUGAUUCCCAGUAAGUGAAUGCUGACAAAUUGAACCUUCCAGCAUGGACAUUUAUUUAUGAAAUAAAUGGACAUUAAUUUCACAGUCUUUCUAUGGAUUCGAGGUGGUGCUGGAUCCACAGGCUCACCUGGCCCCCUAGCUUUCUCUGCAGAAUCUGCCAGUGUGCCUUCAAUCCCAAAAGAAGUCGCUUUUCAUGUGCUGCUGGAGCUUUUGAUUGGCGGUGACUGAGAUGGGACUUUAAGUUCUCACCAGGAUGCAAAGUGGGGUUCCAACUUUACUGCUUUCUGAACCCUGCUGAUCUGUCCCCAACCAAGGCUUGAUUUUCUUCUGAAGCGCAGUAUUUUUAAACUGUGGUUGAAAUCUAUUCAUGGGCUAUAAAAUCAGUUGUUGAGGAUGUAACCAUUUUGAAUUAAUUUUUAAUUCAAAAAAUUAGACUAGAAAUUUUUAAUUUUAAUUCAAAAAAUAGACUAGAAAAAAAUCAGAGUGCAUCAUGUAUGGUAGGGAUAAGUGUAAUUCUUUCUGUAAAACUUGUUUUGGAGGGUAUGUUGUGCAUUGGGCUUCUGUGUAUUUCUUACUACGUUUCACAGGGAAACUGCUGUCAUCUCUGCAGUACAAUAUAGAUCAACAAUGGCCCUAACUUCCCUAAGACAGCUCUCAUGUCUGCUUGCAGAGAACAGAUGGAAAAAGUCACCAGGGAGGGUAGAUUGCCAUAUACAAGUACUUCAGGGAGGCUACCUGGAAACUAAUAGAAAACCAGUUUAUGGAUGAUUGCAGAGCCUGGGGAGAGAAAUCAAUCUUGGACAGUUUUAUGGAUGGCAGCCAACAGCCUACCAUGCUCAGCCCAUCGCACCUGUCACCUGGGGACAAGCAGGGUCUAUCUGGAACGGACUCUGGCCAGGAUUCAGUUUCUCUUUCCUCGAAAUGGGGAUAAUCACCCUCUUGACUAUUGCUGUUAUGGGAAAGGCCAAAUUAGGGGAAAAAAAUUCUGUCCAAUAAGGGAUGAACCACAAAGCUCAGGCCAGUAAUGGCCUCUAUUGGUGGUUUGGGAGGUAUGCUUGUAUGGGCAUUAAGGGAGAAAGAGAAGGUCUGCACUCUAAUCAAGUCUAGGCAAUGUGGGAGUUGGAAAGAGACACAUGGGAACACAGACCCAGUCACCUGAAGGCAAGAGCCUUUCUUUUUCCUCCUCUUGGCAGGCAGCGUGGGCUCCCGGGCCCCAAGCAGGAUCCCUUAGGGCUGAUCUCUUACCACACACUGGUCUGACUUGGUGACCUGGAAGAGGACAGUCAGAGCCAACAGGAUGAGGGGACCAGCUUGGAGAGCAUCUAUUGUAUGCCACCCUUGAGUGGCUGGAAAUGUCUUCUGCCACUUUGCAAGGGGCUGGGGGCUGGGGAGUGGGAGUGGCAAGGGAACACGGGGUGGUAGAUUGUUCCCAGGGCUGCUGGUUUUGGAGCAGUCUGACUACCCUCUCUUCUUAGUGGGAAAGAAAGGAGGAAGAAGGGGGAAGGGAUGCUUUUGGAGGGGAGCUCUAAGGGUGGGAGAAAAGAAAGCCUGAAAGAACAUCACUAAAGGGUCUGAAGUUAAAGACUCCAAUGAACAAGAAGCCCCUAAUUCAAACAGUGCCACUAACACCAAAACCUGUAAAGUGGUCCAGAGAGACCCUGGUCAUGUCUGUAACUUUCCUUUUUAAAGCUCUCGUGAAGUUAAUGAAUGAAAAAAUUGCUAAUGCAAAGAUGGAAAUUAAUAAAAACAAAAGCGUGCUUCAUAUUGCAGGGUGACCACCUCUAAUCCUACCAGUGAUCCUGUGGCUGUCCCUGUAACUUCCUUUGGCAACACCAUGCUUUGAGAAGCUGUGGGGAAGGCUGGCCAGGGAGAGAGCCUCACCCCCCAAUUCUGCCAGCUGAUCCCCCAGAGGGCUGCAAGGCUCCUGAUUUACCCAGACCUCUGGAGUGGCUGAGGCUGGGCUCUGGGGUUGGAUGGUUCUCACCAAGAGGCCUGGGACAUCUGCUCUGUGCUAAGCUCCGAGGCAGACCACAGAGGAGAUAAUGACUAAUCGGACCUUCACAUACAUUGUACAUGCCUUUUCUGAACUGAAAAAGAGAAGAACAAACAAGAUAAAAAUAUUGAAAAAAAAGAAGAAUCAAAUGUGUAGAAAAUGCAAGGUCAUUAGAACUGCCCAGGGCUUCAUUCAGGCAAAGAUCUUGAGGGUCUGGCCAGGGACCUGCUGAGUAAAUCUAGCUCUGGUUCCCCUCCCACAGAUUCCCUGCGCCUCCUCCAACUGCAUAACCAAAUCUCCCCACCUCCCAACUUUCCUUGAGCUAUUCUGCUGUUUUCUUCACUUUAGUUUUCUCACUGUAACCC
rnacentral:lncRNA from 1 species